UACGGAGNGGGUUAGCGUUGUUCGGAAUUACUGGGCGUAAAGCGCGCNUAGGCGGACCAGAAAGUUGGGGGUGAAAUCCCGGGGCUCAACCCCGGAACGGANNNAAAAACUCCUGGUCUUGAGUUCGNNNGAGGUGAGUGNAAUUCCGAGUGUANAGGUGAAAUUCGUAGAUAUUCGGAGGAACACCCGUGGCGAAGUCUUCUCACUGGCUCGCUACUGACGCUGCAGGUGCGAAAGUGUGGGUAGCAAACAGG
rnacentral:rRNA from 1 species